rfam:Pteropus alecto contig32799, whole genome shotgun sequence.
GUCUAUGGCCGUGCUACCCUGAACAAGCCUGAUCCUGUCUGAUUUCAGAAGUUAAGCAGGGUCAAGCCUGGUUAGUACUUGGAUGGGAAAUCACCUAGGAAGACCAGGUGCUGUAGGCA